rnacentral:sRNA from 1 species
AAUGAUUGGGAAACUCAUCAAAUUUUAACGAAAUACCGAGACAAGCUACGCCCCUCGAUGGCGGGCCUCGCGCCUCAGGGCGUUGUCCCUCCGGGGGCACGGAGGAUUACAAAGAGAGGCGGGCACUCAAAUCCUGUCAUUCGGAGUUUCAUCACAUAUCCUUUGAUGUGGCUUCUU